rnacentral:ncRNA from 1 species
CGAAGCUGCGCCUGUCGUGGUUCCGGCGCAUGGAUGGUCCAUGUUUCGGCCAAGAGGGAAUGCGGUGCGCCGGUGACGGCUAAUCCGCGGCUGCCCCCGCAACUGUAGGCGGAGAGCGCCUGUCCAUCAUGCCACUGCGCGAAAGCGCGGGAAGGCGGGCAGGGGCGAUGACCCGCAAGCCAGGAGACCUGCCACGGCGCAUCACAACCA